rnacentral:lncRNA from 1 species
GCGGCCGCCGGAGCUGCUGGCGCGGGGGCGCGGCGCGGGACGCGGGCUUGUGCGGAGAGACACCCUGACGUCAGGGCGGGUGAUGCGGCCUCUUAAAGGGGACGCGGGAAGCCCCGCCCUGGGCGCAAGCGGGAGGCAGUACAACUUAACUACUUAAGAUGAAGAGAAGUCCCUACAGCUUGACUGGAAUACUGGAAUGGAGUUGAUACGAGUUAUUACUACUGUAACAGCAUUUAAUCUUCUAUUUUCAAAAGCAAAAAAAAAAAAAAGCCAAAUGUGAACUUGGCAUUCACACAAUUAUCAUGGAGAUUCGAGGUUUUCGUUCUAACAAAAAAUGUAAUGAGGAAAGGCAAGAGAGCAAGUUGUACAAACACCACAUAGGGACAAAGGGUGGAUAGGAUUGGGUGAAGGGCCUAGAGCAGCACCAGAAAUCUUCAGUGCUCUUAUAAACAGCCACUUCAAGUUUUUUCUUGUACUGAAGAACUUGUGGGAGAGACUCGGAUGCUGGCCACGCCACGCCUGCAUGUGUG